rfam:Candidatus Nanosalina sp. J07AB43 genomic scaffold scf_7180000030744, whole genome shotgun sequence.
AGCCCCAUAGCAUAGCGGCCAAGUGCACCAGCCUUUGGAGCUGGCGACCCUGGUUCGAAUCCGGGUGGGGCUA